GGUGGACGGGGCACGGCGGGUGGACGCCGGGGCGGCUGAGCCUUGCCGGACCGGAGCCCGGUCUGCCCGGGGUUCAGACCGCCGGUCUGACG
rnacentral:tRNA from 1 species